AUUGAACGCUGGCGGCAUGCCUUACACAUGCAAGUCGAACGGCAGCACGGGAGCAAUCCUGGUGGCGAGUGGCGAACGGGUGAGUAAUAUAUCGGAACGUGCCCAGUCGUGGGGGAUAACGCAGCGAAAGCUGUGCUAAUACCGCAUACGAUCUCUGGAUGAACGCGGGGGACUUGAAAGAGCCUCGCGCGAUUGGAUCGGCUGAUAUCAGAUUAGCUAGUUGGUGGGGUAAAGGCCCACCAAGGCGACGAUCUGUAGCUGGUCUGAGAGGACGACCAGCCACACUGGAACUGAGACACGGUCCAGACUCCUACGGGAGGCAGCAGUGGGGAAUUUUGGACAAUGGGCGCAAGCCUGAUCCAGCAAUGCCGCGUGCAGGAUGAAGGCCUUCGGGUUGUAAACUGCUUUUGUACGGAGCGAAAAAGUUCUUUUUAAUAAAGAGGGCUCAUGACGGUACCGUAAGAAUAAGCACCGGCUAACUACGUGCCAGCAGCCGCCGUAACAC
rnacentral:rRNA from 1 species